AUCCAGCUGACCAGUCCCGAAUAGGAGGAAAUGCGUAUUGUCCUGGAU
rnacentral:hammerhead_ribozyme from 1 species